AGUGAAGCAGAGACAAGUCUGUCUUUGUGGAAUUCAGCUAGGACUACAUUGAUUCGCCAAAAGUCAAUACUUGUAAAAACAAUAUACUGUAUAUAUAAUGAAAUGCUUACCUUGUACCUAUGUUCGUCCUCAGUAGUUGCGUGCCUUUCUUUGUUUGCUGAAAUCCAUACUUUUUCAAUAAACCUUAAUCAAAUACAACCACCUGCUGUUUCCUUAAGAUUCAAUUGGCACAUGCUCAUUUUCACUGAGUUGCCAUCUUAGAGCAACAGCAAUGAGCAAACAGUCAGUGGUUGUAUUUGAUUAACAUUUAUUGAAAAUGUAUGGAUUUCAUCAAAUAAAGGCACGCAACUACAGAGGACAAACACAGGUACAAGGAACAAUGAGACGACACAUGACUCGAUACGCCGUUACGCAGGAAAAAUUGUGGACUACAUUGCCCAGUCAACCACUGCUUUCUCUCAGGAAGAUGUUUCCGGUAUAGGCCUACAUAACAUCUUGGGGAAGACUGUAGAGGGCCUUCUCCAAAAAGUGUGCGGAGGGGUCUCAAGCAUCCUGAACAAGUAUUUGUAUGGGGCGGGGGUGUUGUCUGAUGCGGUGAUCCCAGUAAAUCUCUUGCCUGUGGCUUCAAAUGGAGACAAUCGGAAAAUGGAAAAAAGAUGGCAGGACUGCACUGAGGAAGACUGUGAACUGAUAAUUAUCCGACUGACAGGGACUGUAAUUAUCACCAUGUUGGAUAGUGUUAUGGAGAGUUGCAGGACGGACCCCACACACAGUUCAUUCUUAGAAGAACUGGGGCUCACCAUGGAAAUGGUAACGAUCAUACGUGAAGUAGCAGAAUGUGCAGCAAACGCCACAAGUAAUGAUUUCAGUCAGUUCACAGUUGGAGGAGUUCCUCUCUUUCAGAGACCACUGAGCAAUCUUUCCUCUGGGCCGAGUCAACCAGCACCCCCCCAAAAUGCCUUGCCAACAUCCACUGUUCCCACACCUGUCUCAAAGGUGAGCUCAGCCAGUCCCAGAUCCACUGACUCAGGGUCCUCACAAGUCAGGAAGCCAAGACAAUCAACAGAAGGAGUUAAGAGACUCUCCGAAAGGCAGCAGAAUCCAGGGGAGGAGAUCACAUCUCUAGUGAUUGAAACCAUUCUACGGUCAGUUGCGGAUUUAGCCAGGCAUGGACUUCUGCCAAGCUGCACCCAGUAGACUGGAUGCCACCUUUUUAUGGAGGUGAUGCAGAAAACAAACAUGUGAAGCCAAUUCAUAAAAGCAUUAAUUAAACAAAUAUGUUGUUAAAAGGUGAGUCAGCAGUUUCUUUC
ensembl:lncRNA